AUUGAACGCUGGCGGCAGGCCUAACACAUGCAAGUCGAGCGAGUGGCGGACGGGUGAGUAAUGUCUGGGGAACUGCCUGAUAGAGGGGGAUAACUACUGGAAACGGUGGCUAAUACCGCAUACUAUCGGAUGUGCCCAUAUGGGAUUAGCUAGUAGGUGGGGUAAAGGCUCACCUAGGCAACGAUCCCUAGCUGGUCUGAGAGGAUGAUCAGCCACACUGGGACUGAGACACGGCCCAGACUCCUACGGGAGGGAGCAGUGGGGAAUAGUGCACAAGGGGCGCAAGCCGGAUGCAGCCAUGCCGCGUGUAUGAAGAAGGCCUUCGGGUUGUAAAGUACUUUCAGCGGGGAGGCGUUACCCGCAGAAGAAGCACCGGCUAACUCCGUGCCAGCCGCCGCGGUAAUUC
rnacentral:rRNA from 1 species